AGAGUGAACGCUGGCGGUAGGCCUAACACAUGCAAGUCGAACGGCAGCACAGUGGUAGCAAUACCAUGGGUGGCGAGUGGCGGACGGGUGAGGAAUACAUCGGAAUCUACCUUUUCGUGGGGGAUAACGUAGGGAAACUUACGCUAAUACCGCAUACGCCCUUCGGGGGAAAGCCGGGGAUCGCAAGACCUGGCGCGGAUAGAUGAGCCGAUGUCGGAUUAGCUAGUUGGUGAGGUAAUGGCUCACCAAGGCGACGAUCCGUAGCUGGUCUGAGAGGAUGAUCAGCCACACUGGAACUGAGACGACGGUCCAGACUCCGUACGGGGAGGCAG
rnacentral:rRNA from 1 species